CACGUAGGGUGCGAGCGUUGUCCGGAAUUAUUGGGCGUAAAGAGCUCGUAGGCGGUGUGUCACGUCGGCCGUGAAAACCUGCAGCUUAACUGUGGGCGUGCGGUCGAUACGGGCAUCACUGGAGUUCGGCAGGGGAGACUGGAAUUCCUGGUGUAGCGGUGAAAUGCGCAGAUAUCAGGAGGAACACCGGUGGCGAAGGCGGGUCUCUGGGCCGAUACUGACGCUGAGGA
rnacentral:rRNA from 1 species